rnacentral:rRNA from 1 species
UUGAACGCUGGCGGCAGGCCUAACACAUGCAAGUCGAGCGGAUGAGAGGAGCUUGCUCCUGGAUUCAGCGGCGGACGGGUGAGUAAUGCCUAGGAAUCUGCCUGGUAGUGGGGGACAACGUUUCGAAAGGAACGCUAAUACCGCAUACGUCCUACGGGAGAAAGCAGGGGACCUUCGGGCCUUGCGCUAUCAGAUGAGCCUAGGUCGGAUUAGCUAGUUGGUGAGGUAAUGGCUCACCAAGGCGACGAUCCGUAACUG